CGGCGGACGGGUGAGUAACGCGUGGGUAACCUGCCUUACACAGGGGGAUAACAGUUAGAAAUGACUGCUAAUACCGCAUAAGACCCCGGUACCGCAUGGUACAGAGGUAAAAACUGAGGUGGUGUAAGAUGGACCCGCGUCUGAUUAGGUAGUUGGUGAGGUAACGGCUCACCAAGCCGACGAUCAGUAGCCGGCCUGAGAGGGUGGACGGCCACAUUGGGACUGAGACNCGGCCCAGACUCCUACGGAAGGCAGCAG
rnacentral:rRNA from 1 species